AGAUGGCUCAGGACGAACGCUGGCGGCGUGCUUAACACAUGCAAGUCGAACGGAGAUGUUAGCAAUAACAUCUUAGUGGCGGACGGGUGAGUAACGCGUGGGCAACUUGCCUCAGACUGGGGGAUAACACAGGGAAACUUGUGCUAAUACCGCAUAACAUCGAGAGAGGACAUCCUCUUUCGAUCAAAGGAGCAAUCCGGUUUGAGAUGGGCCCGCGUCCGAUUAGCUAGUUGGCGGUGUAAUGGACCACCAAGGCGACGAUCGGUAGCCGAACUGAGAGGUUGAUCGGCCACAUUGGGACUGAGACACGGCCCAGACUCCUACGGGAGGCAGCAGUGGGGAAUAUUGCACAAUGGGGGAAACCCUGAUGCAAGCAACGCCGCGUGAAGGAUGGAGGCUUUCGGAUUGUAAACUUCUUUGAUGAGGGACGAAUAAUGACGGUACCUCAAAACAAGCCACGGCUAACUACGUGCCAGCAGCUGC
rnacentral:rRNA from 1 species